CAGUCGCCACGGUAAUACGUAGGUGGCAAGCGUUGUCCGGAUUUAUUGGGCGUAAAGCGAGCGCAGGCGGUCAAUUAAGUCUGAUGUGAAAGCCCCCGGCUCAACCGGGGAGGGUCAUUGGAAACUGGUUGACUUGAGUGCAGAAGAGGAGAGUGGAAUUCCAUGUGUAGCGGUGAAAUGUGUAGAUAUAUGGAGGAACACCAGUGGCGAAGGCGACUCUCCGGUCUGUAACUGACGCUGAGGCUCGAAAGCGUGGGUAGCAAACAGGAUUAGAUACCCCUGUAGUCCCUGUCUCUUAUAA
rnacentral:rRNA from 1 species